AUACGGGGGGUGCAAGCGUUACUCGGAAUCACUGGGCGUAAAGCGCGCGCAGGCGGUCUUUUAAGUUGGAUGUGAAAGCCUACGGCUCAACCGUAGAACUGCAUCCAAAACUAUUAGACUAGAGUGUGGGAGAGGAAGAUGGAAUUAGUUGUGUAGGGGUAAAAUCCGUAGAGAUAAAUAGGAAUACCAAACGCGAAGGCAAUCUUCUGGAACACUACUGACGCUGAGGCGCGAACGCGUGGGGAGCAAACAGGAUUAGAAACCCUAGUAGUCC
rnacentral:rRNA from 1 species